rnacentral:rRNA from 1 species
GCAGGCCUAACACAUGCAAGUNNGACGGUAGCACAGAGGAGCUUGCNNNUCGGGUGACGAGUGGCGGACGGGUGAGUAAUGUCUGGGGAUCUGCCCGAUAGAGGGGGAUAACCACUGGAAACGGUGGCUAAUACCGCAUAACGUCGCAAGACCAAAGAGGGGGACCUUCGGGCCUCUCACUAUCGGAUGAACCCAGAUGGGAUUAGCUAGUAGGCGGGGUAACGGCCCACCUAGGCGACGAUCCCUAGCUGGUCUGAGAGGAUGACCAGCCACACUGGAACUGAGACACGGUCCAGACUCCUACGGGAGGCAGCAGUGGGGAAUAUUGCACAAUNGNCGCAAGCCUGAUGCAGCCAUGCCGCGU